AUUGAACGCUGGCGGCAGGCCUAACACAUGCAAGUCGAACGAGUGGCGGACGGGUGAGUAAUGUCUGGGAAACUGCCCGAUGGAGGGGGAUAACUACUGGAAACGGUAGCUAAUAAAGCAGACCAUCGGACGUGCGAAGAUGGGAUUAGCUAGUAGGUGGGGUAAUGGCUCACCUAGGCGACGAUCCCUAGCUGGUCUGAGAGGAUGACCAGCCACACUGGAACUGCGCCACGGUCCAGACUCCUACGUGAGGCAGAAGUGGGGAAUAUUGCACAAUGGGCGCAAGCCUGAUACAGCCAUGCCGCGUGUAUGAAGAAGGCCUUCGGGUUGUAAAGUACUUUCAGCGAGGAGGCUUUCCUCUCCUCAGAAGCACCGGCUAACUCCGUGCCAGCAGCCGCGGUACUCC
rnacentral:rRNA from 1 species